rnacentral:rRNA from 1 species
UGGCGGCGCGCCUAACACAUGCAAGUCCAACGAUCGAGAGAGAGCUUGCUUUCUCGAGCGAGUGGCAAACGGGUGAGUAACGCGUGAGGAACCUGCCUCAAAGAGGGGGACAACAGUUGGAAACUGACUGCUAAUACCGCAUAAGCCCACGACCCGGCAUCGGGUUGAGGGAAAAGGAGCAAUCCGCUUUGAGAUGGCCUCGCGUCCGAUUAUCUAGUUGGUGAGGUAACGGCCCACCAAGGCGACCAUCGGUAGCCGGACUGAAAGGUUGAACGGCCACAUUGGGACUGAUACACGGCCCACACUCCUACCGGAGGCAUCACUGGGGAAUAUUGCACAAUGGGGGAAACCCUGAUGCAUCGACGCCGCGUGGAGGGAGAAGGUCUUCGGAUUGUAAACUCCUGUUGUUGAGGAAGAUAAUGACGGUACUCAACAAGGAAGUGACGGCUAACUACAUGCCACCAGCCGCGGUAAAACGUAGGUCACAAGCGUUGUCCGGAAUUACUGGGUGUAAAGGGAGCGCAGGCGGAAAGACAAGUUGGAAGUGAAAUCCAUGGGCUCAACCCAUGAACUGCUUUCAAAACUGUUUUUCUUGACUAGUGCAGAGGUAUGCGGAAUUCCCGGUGUAGCGGUGGAAUGCGUAGAUAUCGGGAGGAACACCAGUGGCGAAGGCGGCCUACUGGGCACCAACUGACGCUGAGGCUCGAAAGUGUGGGUAGCAAACAGGAUUAGAUACCUUGGUAGUCCACACUCGUAAACGAUGAUUACUAGGUGUUGGAGGAUUGACCCAUUCAGUGCCGCAGUUAACACAAUAAGUAAUCCACGUGGGGAGUACGACCGCAAGGUUGAAACUCAAAGGAAUUGAUGGGGGCCCGCACAAGCAGUGGAGUAUGUGGUUUAAUUUGACGCAACGCGAAGAACCUUACCAAGUCUUGACAUCCUGCGACGGUGCCGGAAACAGUAUUUUCCUUCGGGACGCAGAGACAGGUGGUUCAUGGUUGUUGUCAGCUGGUGUCGUGAGAUGUUGGGUUAAGUCCCGCAACGAGCGCAACCCUUAUGGUCAGUUACUACGCAAGAGGACUCUGGCCAGACUGCCGUUGACAAAUCGGAGGAAGGUGGGGAUGACGUCAAAUCAUCAUGCCCUUUAUGACUUGGGCUACACACGUACUACAAUGGCGUUAAACAAAGAGAAGCAAGACCUCGAGGUGGAGCAAAACUCAGAAACAACGUUCCAGUUCGGACUGCAGGCUGCAACUCGCGUGCAAGAAGUCGGAAUCGGUAGUAAUCGUGGAUCAGCAUGCCACGGUGAAUACGUUCCCGGGCCUUGUACACACCGCCCGUCACACCAUUAGAGCCGGGGGGACCGGAAGUCGGUAGUCUAACCGCAAGGAGG